GGGUCCUGGAAACAGAAAUAAGAGCAUUUCUCACAGUCUAGUAAAAUCUUACUUGAAAAAUUAAUUCAGAUUAAUGUGGUUAUGAACAUAAUCACAUGAUCUGAAAGCUGGCAGAAAGUCUGUAAACAUCUAAAAGAAAACAAAGAUGGAACAAAUGUCUUCAUGAGGAAGAGUGCCCAAGGACACUGAAAAUGAGAAUGACGGCAGCUGGCACUGUCUGCUUCUCUUUCUCCUGAUUUCACCUCUGGCCAUGUCCUGUCGCUGCUGAAGAGAUGCCAAGUUUCUCAUAAAGUUCUGCAUUUGGCAUGGAGCCCACAGACAGUGCCAGGAAAGAAGAUGAAGAAACUUUUGCCAGUCAUCCCUUUGUAAAUGAUCACUGCACAGCAGGAAGCAGGAGAAUUUACUUCAACUACAGCCAAGUCAGUGGGUUAAUUUUUGUAAACAUGUCUUAAGUGCUCUGCCUCUUAUCUUUAUGCCAUGGAUUUUGUACCAAAAAGACUGGCUACAAAGCUGCUCAGGCAGCAAUCUCAGAGUUUUGACAUUCAAAUAGUUCAUUAAUCACUUUCUGUCGGCCUCUUUUCUUUGGCCUUAUUUUGUUAAUGCAACUACAAGGGACCUAGCAUGGCAGCUGAGACUGCUCCAGAAUGUAAUGUUACUUUAAUACAGAAGUGUGAAACAGUGCAAGAAGAAAAUACUUAUGCAACUAUAUCUCAACCCUCCAGGAUCCUCAGGAAAAGUCUUCAA